CCCGGGCCUGCGUGGGUUUUCUGCGGGUGCUCCGGUUUCCUCCCACAUUCCAAAAUCAUGCAUGGCAGGCUGAUUGGACGCUCUAAAUUGUCCCUAGGUGUGAGUGUGAGUGCGAAUGGUUGUUCGUCUCUGUGUGCCCUGUGAUUGGCUGGCAACCGGUUCAGGGUGUCCCCCGCCUUCUGCCCGAAGACAGCUGGGAUAGGCUCCAGCACCCCCCGCGACCCUAGUGAGGAUUAAGCGGUUCAGAAAAUGGAUGGAUGAUUUGGGCAGCCCGGUGGUCCAGUGGUUAGCGCGUCGACCUCACAGUACAGAGGUCAAGGGUUCAAUCCUGACUCCGGCCUUCCUGCGUGGAGUUUGCAUGUUCUCCCCCGGGCCUGCGUGGGUUUUCUCCGGGUACUCCGGUUUCCACCCACGUUCCAAAAACAGGCAAUGGAAAACUCCAAAUUGUCCCAAGGUCUGAUUGUGAGCGCGGAUGGUUAUUGAUCUAUCUAUGCCCUGCGAUCGGCUGGCAACCAGUUCAGGAUGUACUCCGCCUACUGCCCGAAGACGGCUGGGAUAGGCUCCAGCACACCCGCGGCCCUCGAUAGGAUAAGUGGUUUGAAUAAUGGAUGAAUGAGAGCUUCAGAGAAGCUCAACUGAAGUUCACCUGAAAAGAUUCGAGCAUAUUUCCCAUUCAUCAUCCUGAAAUUUCACCAGGACGCUAAACCGCGUUUUAUCAAAAUCCAGUGACUGAUACUGUCGCUACGACGGAAGCGCGCACUCGUCGAUGCUGCGGCUUACGCGGGUCCUCCGCGCUUUCCGUCCGUAUGUUUGUGGUGUUUGUGCAGAAGGUAAUCCCACCGUCAGCGGUUGGAAUUUUUUCUCCCGAAAAGGCUUACGGAGAAAGUCGACUUCAGUGGCAAGUUUCAAAAGCUUUCAUUGACACACCGGCUGGAUGGAUAAACCCCCAACACUCGCAUCCGUCAGAUCAAUCACGAUGAAGACGAGGCUGCUGCAUGACUGAGUGAACGCUUCCCUGUUUGUUUUUUUUUAACCGACAAAUGAGUUCCCCGCUGCUUUCUCCUCUCUUUGAGGAGUGCGAAGACUUCGGUUCCCUUGUUGUUGUCUUUGGCGCAUGAAUUGCAAACAAAAGCUGCGCAAGGGGGCACGGCUGCGACACUUGCGGAACACCCUUGCGGACGAAACUCAUUCCCUUCGCUUGUAUUCAUCUUUGUGUGAGAUGAGAAAACAAAUAAACAAAUAAAAAGUCUCUUUUUUUUGGGGUUCUAUUUGCAAAUGGAAAGAACAAACUGUACUUUGACUUCUUUUCGAGGCUCACCCCAAACUGAGAGCUUUGCCUUUUUUUUUUCCCGGUUAAGAUGCUGCGACAAUGCAACCGUUGAUCAAAUUUUGGGUCCUAAUAUAAGUUUUUCAAUAU